ensembl:lncRNA
GCAGUGAGUUUUACUAAUUAGCUCACCUGCCGCAGCUCGCCUGCCAGGUGUUUUUUUAAAUUAGUUAAUUGGUUGCAUCUGGUGCGUUUCACUUAAAAGGGAACCGACAGUACAUUUGUUUGUGUACUGUUUUGAGGUCUGUGACUUAUUUAACAUCUCUUCCAGUUUCACAGGUUAAAGACUUUUUGAAGUAAAGAGGAGCAUCUCAUCUGAACCUGAUGUCUAUCAUGGAUAUUUAACUGCAGUUCUGUGAGUAUCCCAACUUAAUCAUGAAGAUGAACUGCAAACUGUAAGUCAUAAGUUUCUCACUACUCUUGGGCACAUUGAUGUAUUUGGCUUCCUGAUGAGUUAACCCGUUACCUGAAGGUUGAUCUCAGUAAUAAGGAUGUUUUAUUGGUUCAUGGGUUACUUAGGUGUUUGGUUUAUGUUGGUUUUAAGGAUUUGUUAAAAUGGUUGCAGGCUCCAAGUUAUUGUUGUAAGCUGGAGUAAUGGGUUGGGUUCUGAUGUCUUCAGUCUUCUUUCCAGCUACUCUCCUGAGCUCUGCAUCUUCAUCACAUGAGUGUUGCUUUGCUGAUGAGGGUGUGGUAUGAGUGAGCAGAGGUGCAUACUGGGAUACAGAGCUGUCUGAAGUCUAGAGGGCUGUAGAAACGCCCCCUCAGGGGUAACCGAGUGUUUGAGAAACUGUCGUGACGUCAGUUACAUGGACUGGAAUGUUCUUAAAGAUGGAGACAGGGGUUCAGAAGAAGAAACACCAGGGAGAGAUGAGGGGGCUCCUCAUCUCAACGACUAAAACACAACUUCAGUCUGACACGGAACCAUGGAACACAUUCAACAGUCCCCUCCAGCCAUCGUGACUCCUCAGGAACGGUUUCAUUUCCAAGAAGGUCUUAUUUGGGGCCAUCCCCAUAUGGAUCCUGCUCCUCAAGAGCCACCCCCCUCCACUGGGUGCUCUUCUGAACAGAUGACCUCCUUCCUGUCCUCAGGCUGACUAAAGCUGCACCGUUUGCAUCUGUGAAGGCCCCUCAUUCAGGAAACCACUGGACUACAAAGACAUGACUUCAGAGAUGUUGAAUCAACCUGGGAUUUUGGAAGACGCCAAGCAUAAUCCAUCACCAAUGUGGGACGCCACUGAAGAAUGUUGUACAUAAUUUACGUCUCUGGAGACAUUGGUUGUUCUGUUAUGGUUGCCCUGGCAGGAGAGCUGGGGUGGGGGGGGGAGGGUGAUGGAAUGUUAUUUGGCAUGAGGUUUUGACCCUGCAUGAUUGUUUGGCCUUUUAUGGCUCAGUGAUGUGCGUGCGUGCGUGUGUGUGUGUGUGUGUGUGUUUGGGUUUGACAUGAGAUGGAAGAUUUUUGAGCAUCACUAGGGUUCUACUGUGUGUGUGUGUGUCUCCCACUCACACCUGGCAUGGGGUUCUACGUGCCUGUCCUGGGUUCUGUGUGUGGCUUGCUUUGACAGUGAUAAUGUUCAUACGGGGGUUUGUGUGAUUUGCUUGGGAUAUUGGAAUGGGCAACUAAAUCAUACCUGAUGGACGGCCACACAUUUACUUAAGGGCCUCCAGUAGACAUGAAGAGCCCUGAGCGAUGCUCCGGAGAGAGAUCCAACACACUGGGCAGGAAGGAGAGUAUCCAAAUCAAGGGUAAAAGGAUGCAAGCGGCGUGUUCAGAUCAGUGACUUCAAACUAGGACUACACCAAUCCGGAUCAAUGGAGGAUGGACACCAAAAGGAAUUCUGACGUUGGAAAGAGUCUGACGUUGGAAAGGGACCUAAAUGGAUAUUCAAGAUGACCUUCAGACCUGUAAUGAGACGGCUCUUCCUACCAGCCUGGAUUGAUGGAGAGCCCUGUGGAUCUUGUCUUGCUCUCAGUUGCACGUCUUCUCAGGCUGAACUCUAAUUGUCUCGGACAGGACUAGCUGAACGAUUGGUUCCCUUAAAUCAGAACCAAUCCGGGAACUCCAGCUAGUGCGCUCUUCGAGCUGAAGUUGUGCUCUUCAGCUGAGGAGGUAAGGAAACCUUCACUGGGGCUUCAAGAUGUAAAGAGGAGAAUUUUUCAAAGUGUUCCAUGGUACUCUGAUGAAGACCGUUGGUGUGUUCCACUGGCUGAGAGGAAGAACCCAGACAUCUUCCUCUUGGCCUUUCUCCUCUCAGAAUCCUGGCGCCAUCUUGAAGGAUAUUCCAGCUCAUGUAACUGAUGUCACGACAGAUUCACAAACACUUGGUUUCUCCUGAGGGGCGUUUCUAUAGAACUGAAGACUUCAGACAGCACUGUAUCCCAGCAUGCAUCUCUGCUCACUCAGACUACACCCCCAUGAGUAGGAUGCAACAUUCUAGUGAUGGAGAUGUAGUGUUUUAUAAGUAACGAGGGAGCAGACUAAGGGGAUUAGAACACAAUGGCAUGUCAAGUCUGUAAAUCUUUAAACCAUGAAGAUGGUUGGAAAAGUCAGGAAUUGGGCUUAUUUUUAAUAUGGGCAGUCCUUUCACUCGGAUGCUCACUUCUCACUGGAAAUGUACAUGCGUUGGCUGGCUGGCAUGAUUUGCUGUUGGUGAUGAGGUGGUCAGGGUGACGUUGCAGGGCUAUGGUCGGCUCUCUGUGAGCUCAACGUUUAGAUUUUCUCUGUAUGGUUUGGACCCUGAAUAAUCUAGAUAAUUGUAAAAUGUAGACACGAUUUUGCAUUGAAUGAUUCCAGGAUUUUAGGUUUAAAGUUGUUGUACAUGGUAGUUUAGUUCUUCGUAUGGUUUUGAGUGAUUAUAACUUGUACACACUGGGUGCAUAAUGUAAUGUUACACUGAAUAGUAUUAAUGACCAACAGCAACAAAAAGAUCUCCUCAAGGUAAGUCUGUUGGCUGUAUUUUAAUGAAGACCAUCGCUGGACUUCAGGAUCUUCCUCCGUUCAGCUCAAGGUGAGGCGCUGGUUAUUUUUCUUUGGUUGGUUCCGGCCGGAAUGUUCGGAUUCCAGUCGGACGGUUUGUGCUUCCCGCCGUGGAAGGUUCUGAGUGAGGUCACUUGAUUUAGUCCCAAUGGUUAGCAUAGAAAGUUGUAGUCUUGACAACCAUAAGAAACCACCUGGCAGUUAGUUGGACGGGAGUCCCCUAAGGGAAUCUGGCAGAACGUUCUGGAUUGUAUUUGCGUAACCUCGAGCCGUUGGCAACGGAAACUAUUUUUCAGUCGGUUUCCAUUGGGAAUUGUUGCCCUCUAUCUCAAACAACUUAAUUUCCGAUGGUUGCGCCGUACUUUUAACCACGUUGACGGGACUCUCGCUGCGUACAAAACGGCGUUCUACUUGUGGCCAAAUUUUUGACAUCGGUGAAGGCUGAAAAUCAUUUCAAGGUGGAAGACAAUUUGACAUUUCUUCAAAGGAACCCAGCACCUGAAUGAGUUGAGUAAAUUUGAUUUUAAUAUUGAUACUGCUUAGUGUUCAUUGUUACUUCACCUUUUGUACGUUCUAAAUAUAUGUUGUCAUUAAUUGCCACAGAACUUUGCCACCCAGAGCAAGACCUCCACCUCCUUACCCAGAGCCAGACCUUCACCUCCUGUCAGAAGUCCUCCAGAACAGCACAAAGGUGAGGCUGAGAGGCUUGGGACCGGAGGCUUGUGGUGCCAGGAUGGACCUGAGGCUGGAGACCAGGGGCCUGCGGUACUGGACCAGAGGACCAGGAAUCCAUGGCUGAAGGAGCUGAUGGAGGAGCCGCGCUGAAGGCCCUGCCUGGUGGAGGAGCUGAUGGAGGCCCUGCCUGGUGGAGGAGCUGAUGGAGGCCCUGCCUGGUGGAGGAGCUGAUGGAGGCCCUGCCUGGUGGAGGAGCCAUGCUGAAGGCCCUGCCUGGUGGAGGAGCUGACGGAGGCCCUGCCUGGUGGAGGAUGUCUGUCGUGGGGACUCUGGUUUGGAGGAGAGCUGAUGGGGAGCUGAUGGGGAGCUGAUGGAGGAGCUGAGUCGCUGGAGGACGACUAGGAAUCGACCAACAAGGAUUCCUCAACGUGUUUCUGGAGCGGAGGCGAGCUGAUAGGGGAGCCGUGAAUCUGGAGGAUGACGUCACUCUACCAACAUGGAUUGUAACUUUGUAUUAACCUGUAUCAACAAAGUGGAAAUAAAGGGCUUAAAAUUAAGACGAACUACAAGUUUGUUACCAGACGUUGGGACCAGACUUGCACUUUUUGUUUCAGACCAGGACUCUGGCUGAGGAGAGCUGAUGGAGGAGCCAUAAAACCAGGAAUCUGGAGGACUGACGGAGAAGCCGUACAUCUGGAAGGCAAAUCCUGAGGACGACCAGGACUCUACCAUCAAGGAUUCCUCCACAAAGGUGAGGCUGAGAGGCUUGGGACCGGAGGCUUGUGGUGCCAGGAUGGACCUGAGGCUGGAGACCAGGGGCCUGCAGCACCGGACCAGAGGACCAGGAAUCCAUGGCUGAAGGAGCUGAUGGAGGAGCCGCGCUGAAGGCCCUGCCUGGUGGAGGAGCUGAUGGAGGCCCUGCCUGGUGGAGGAGCUGACGGAGGCCCUGCCUGGUGGAGGAUGUCUGUCGUGGGGACUCUGGUUUGGAGGAGAGCUGAUGGGGAGCUGAUGGGGAGCUGAUGGAGAGCUGAUGGAGGAGCUGAUGGAGGAGCUGAUGGAGGAGCUGAUGGAGGAGCUGAGUCGCUGGAGGACGACUUGGAAUCGACCAACAAGGAUUCCUCAACAUGUUUCUGGAGCGGAGGCGAGCUGAUAGGGGAGCCGUGAAUCUGGAGGAUGACCAUCACUCUACCAACAAGGAUUACCAGGACUCUGGCUGAGGAGCGCUGAUGGAGGAGCCAAGACUCUGGAGGACGACAUCACUCUACCAACAAAGAUCCUCACCAGGAAUCUGGAGGACUGACGGAGAAGCCGUACAUCUGGAAGGCAAAUCCUGAGGAUGACCAGGACUCUACCAUCAAGGAUUCCUCACACACCUGAGCUGAACCUCACCUGAUCCUGUUUGGUCGGGGGAAGACGCACCUGAGCUGAACCUCACCUGAUUGGUCGGGGGCAGACUCACCUGAGCUGCACCUCACCUGAUCCUGUUUGGUGGGGGGCAGACUCACCUGAGCUGAACCCACCCUGAUCCUGACAUCCUGCUGGUCCCGUCUCCUCAGUUCAUCUGAGCCUCGUCCUCCAGAAGACCUGCUGAGCUCAGCGGUCUGAGGCUGAUGGAUCAAUGACCUCCAGUGGGAGUGAUCUUCUUGACCCCACAUGUAGCCGUGUGCUUCCACACGCCUUUCCCUCACGUCUGCCACUAACCUCACUACUUCACUACUCUCUACUGCUUCCUCUUUUCUUCCUUCUCUGUGGUUCAAACCUUUUAUACUGAAGGCGCGUCUUCCUGCCCUCAGAGGGUUUAGCGUUAGGGUUGAGAGUCAGGGUUUAGAGUCAGGGACAGAGCUGGUCAGGGAGGACUGCUUUUACACAAACCUCUUCACUUGCUUUCGGAAUGGUGGUGACAUUUUGAAAAGAUUCAUUGGGGAAAAUGUUUUCCUCUGCUUUCCUUUACAAAUUGUAUUCAACUUCUGUCAAGUGUUUUUGUUUAUAUUAAAAUCCCACAUUGACUUCUACAUGUUUGUUGCUGUUCAUUUAAUUGUCCUUUAACUUGGUUAAUGUCAAGCUAAACUCCUGCAAUACAUUUAAUAUACAUGAUUGUUAUUCUGCAAUGUUCACAUAUUCCAUUUUGAAAAAAUAUGAAACCUCCAUAUUACUACUAAAUUCAAG